rnacentral:rRNA from 1 species
AUUGAACGCUGGCGGCAGGCCUAACACAUGCAAGUCGAACGGUAACAGGAAGCAGCUUGCUGCUUUGCUGACGAGUGGCGGCCGGGUGAGUAAUGUCUGGGAAACUGCCCGAUGGAGGGGGAUAACUACUGGAAACGGUAGCUAAUACCGCAUAACGUCGCAAGACCAAAGAGGGGGACCUUAGGGCCUCUUGCCAUCGGAUGUGCCCAGAUGGGAUUAGCUAGUAGGUGGGGUAACGGCUCACCUAGGCGACGAUCCCUAGCUGGUCUGAGAGGAUGACCAGCCACACUGGAACUGAGACACGGUCCAGACUCCUACGGGAGGCCGCAGUGGGGAAUAUUGCACAAUGGGCGCAAGCCUGAUGCAGCCAUGCCGCGUGUAUGAAGAAGGCCUUCGGGUUGUAAAGUACUUUCAGCGGGGAGGAAGGGAGUAAAGUUAAUACCUUUGCUCAUUGACGUUACCCGCAGAAGAAGCACCGGCUAACUCCGUG